AUUGAACGCUGGCGGCAGGCCUAACACAUGCAAGUCGAGCGGCAGCGGAAAGUAGCUUGCUACUUUGCCGGCGAGCGGCGGACGGGUGAGUAAUGUCUGGGAAACUGCCUGAUGGAGGGGGAUAACUACUGGAAACGGUGGCUAAUACCGCAUAACGUCGCAAGACCAAAGUGGGGGACCUUCGGGCCUCACGCCAUCGGAUGUGCCCAGAUGGGAUUAGCUAGUAGGUGGGGUAAUGGCUCACCUAGGCGACGAUCCCUAGCUGGUCUGAGAGGAUGAUCAGCCACACUGGAACUGAGACACGGUCCAGACUCCUACGGGAGGCAGCAGUGGGGAAUAUUGCACAAUGGGGGAAACCCUGAUGCAGCCAUGCCGCGUGUGUGAAGAAGGNCUUCGGGUUGUAAAGCACUUUCAGCGAGGAGGAAAGGUCAGUANCUAAUAUCUGCUGACUGUGACGUUACUCGCANAANAANCACCGGCUAACUCCGUGCCAGCAGCCGCGGUAAUACGGAGGUGCAAGCGUUAAUCGGAAUUACUGGGCGUAAAGCNCACGC
rnacentral:rRNA from 1 species